rnacentral:rRNA from 1 species
AUUGCACGCUGGCGGCAGGCCUAACACAUGCAAGUCGAGCGGAGCGGCGGACGGGCGAGUAAUGCCUAGGAAUCUGCCUGGUAGUGGCGGAGAACGUCCGGAAUCGGGCGCUGAUACCGCAUACUCUCAGCUGAGCCUAGGCCGGAUUAGCAAGUUGGUGGGGUAAAGGCCUACCAAGGCGACGAUCCGUAACUGGUCUGAGAGGAGGAUCAGGCACACGGGAACUGGGACACGGGCCAGACUCCUACGGGAGGCAGAAGUGGGGAAUAUUGGACAAUGGGCGAAAGCCUGAUCCAGUCAUGCCGCGUGUGGGAAGAAGGUCUUCGGAUUGUAAAGCACGUUAAGUUGGAAGGCGUUACCAACAGAAUAAGCACCGGCUAACUUCGUGCCAGCAGCCGCGGUAAUAC